UGGGGAAUUUUGGACAAUGGGCGCAAGCCUGAUCCAGCAAUGCCGCGUGCAGGAUGAAGGCCUUCGGGUUGUAAACUGCUUUUGUACGGAGCGAAAAGGUCUGCCCUAAUACGGUGGGCUCAUGACGGUACCGUAAGAAUAAGCACCGGCUAACUACGUGCCAGCAGCCGCGGUAAUACGUAGGGUGCGAGCGUUAAUCGGAAUUACUGGGCGUAAAGCGCACGCAGGCGGUCUGUCAAGUCGGAUGUGAAAUCCCCGGGCUCAACCUGGGAACUGCAUUUGUGACUGCAUAGCUGGAGUGCGGCAGAGGGGGAUGGAAUUCCGCGUGUAGCAGUGAAAUGCGUAGAUAUGCGGAGGAACACCGAUGGCGAAGGCAAUCCCCUGGGCCUGCACUGACGCUCAUGCUCGAAAGCGUGGGGAGCAAACA
rnacentral:rRNA from 1 species